CGGUCAAGAACGCGGUGGCACAGUCGCUUGAGCUGAAGACGCUCGUCCCGUCUACCUCUACCUCUGGCUGUUCCACUAUGCCGAGAGAUUUUCAGAAAUAACAAAGUUUGAGGGAAGCAUUAUUAGGCCUGGAACUUGGUCUACUGUCGGAAUUCAGAGCCAUAAAGCAUUGGACUUGGACAAGCAACAAACAAUCAAAGACGCGUACGUGACUGCUCCAUGGUUCAGAGCUCUUCCAUGGCAGCAACCAGCGGUCCCAAGGCCAAG